rnacentral:rRNA from 1 species
GACGAACGCUGGCGGCGUGCUUAACACAUGCAAGUCGAACGGAAAGGCCCUUUGGGGGUACUCGAGUGGCGAACGGGUGAGUAACACGUGAGUAACCUGCCCUUGACUUCGGGAUAACUUCAGGAAACUGGGGCUAAUACCGGAUAGGAAUCCUUGCUGCAUGGUGGGGGUUGGAAAGCUUCGGCGGUUUUGGAUGGACUCGCGGCUUAUCAGCUUGUUGGUGGGGUAGUGGCUUACCAAGGCUUUGACGGGUAGCCGGCCUGAGAGGGCGACCGGCCACAUUGGGACUGAGAUACGGCCCAGACUCCUACGGGAGGCAGCAGUGGGGAAUAUUGCACAAUGGGCGGAAGCCUGAUGCAGCAACGCCGCGUGCGGGAUGACGGCCUUCGGGUUGUAAACCGCUUUCAGCAGGGGCGAAGCUUGUGGUGACGGUACCUGCAGAAGAAGCACCGGCUAACUACGUG